GACGAACGCUGGCGGCGUGCCUAACACAUGCAAGUCGAACGGAAAGGCCCUGCUUUUGUGGGGUGCUCGAGUGGCGAACGGGUGAGUAACACGUGGGUAACCUGCCCUUGACUUUGGGAUAACUUCAGGAAACUGGGGCUAAUACCGGAUAGGAGCUCCUGCUGCAUGGUGGGGGUUGGAAAGUUUCGGCGGUUGGGGAUGGACUCGCGGCUUAUCAGCUUGUUGGUGGGGUAGUGGCUUACCAAGGCUUUGACGGGUAGCCGGCCUGAGAGGGUGACCGGCCACAUUGGGACUGAGAUACGGCCCAGACUCCUACGGGAGGCAGCAGUGGGGAAUAUUGCACAAUGGGCGGAAGCCUGAUGCAGCAACGCCGCGUGCGGGAUGACGGCCUUCGGGUUGUAAACCGCUUUCGCCUGUGACGAAGCGUGGGUGACGGUAAUGGGUAAAGAAGCACCGGCUAACUACGUG
rnacentral:rRNA from 1 species